CCAGUCUAAACUGCAUAGUGAGACCCUGCCUCAAAAAUAAAAAUAAAACAAAAUAAAAUAAAAUAAAAAAGCUCAGUUGCAAAGCAAAAUUUAGAACAAAAGUUUACAGAUACCAAUUUUAGUACACUUUUUCUGAUUAGUGUGCUAUGUUCUGGUUUCUGUUAUUAAAGAUGAAGUGUAACAGCAAAAUGCUCUUACUUUGGAAACACAAGAAGGUCAAGAAGAAAACUGUGUCCACUGUUGUAGAGUAGCUAGCGCUUUCUAGAAGAUUCACGGCAUAUUCAGUGUCUCCUGUGGACAAAGACAGUUCAAACCACCGUUCAUUCUUAGUGUUAAACCGGGUUAAAACACUAAUUUCUUCUCACGACAGGCUGAAUCUAAGGACGAAGAAAACUAGCCUGGAGGAAUGGCUGCGGGUCAGCAGUGUAGAGGUGACCAGGGAAGACACAGGACAGAAUGAGCUAAUCCAGAACAAUGUACUACAGAAAGAAGACAGAGAUUACAACAUGCAAAAACUGACCACUAUUUGCUACUUCUGCGAACAGUUUGGCAACUGCAGCCUCCCCAGUUCUGAGGCCAACAACUUGUUCAUUUGGUAAGCAAUCUCUUCUUCACCCUGAAGUACAUGCAACCUUUGUUGGUGUAGUUUCUGUAACACACUUAAAUCCAUUUUCUUUCAUUUUAUAGUCUUUUUCAAAGAGAUCUUCAAAGUUUUGCAAUUUGAGGGUCCAUUUGAUA
rnacentral:lncRNA from 1 species